UUUAGCGGCGCCUGCUGAUGGAUGGGAUGUAAUGACUGAGCCGUACUAAAAGGGACUGGGCCAAGGUGACAAGAUGGCGGACCAGAAAAACAAGGACGAAGGAGACACGUAUGAAAACAUUGGUUGUGACGCUUGUGGUAGCAAUGUAGGUCGAUGCUGUAAGCUGGAAACCGGCCAGGGGGGGAUGAGGCAGGUAUAGAGGCAGGAAUAGAGGUGGGAAAGCAGUGGCAUUGAACGAUGGAAUCGGCGACAAAAAGCUAUUGCUGAUAGGCACCGCAGCAGACGCGUAGACAACGAACCGAAGAGCCAGCGAGGGAACACUGUGAGGCAGGAACGACCAAGGGAGCGGGAAAACAAACUGUCGAGCACAACGAAGCUUCGACCACUGAAAUCAAAGCAGUAGAGGAACUUGGGGAAAAAUAACCAAGUCGACAUAAGACAAUGCUCUCCGAAGAAUGACCAACGGUGGACCGAAACGAAACAGCCAUCAACAACGAAGUACCCAACGAAUUUGUUGAACCUAGACUAAACCAGCUAAGCUAUUAAUUUGUUAAUCUCGGCAUUGUAAAGGAGAGACAACGUUGUGAACUUGAAGGUCUGCAAGCAAUGAGCUAUACCUGUGAGCUCCACGGCUUAAAUAAUCUCGGUAAACCUGCAUAAUAACUAAUAUGAAUAUAUAAUUAAUAUAUACAUAAACAACACGCACACAUUCGUUC